rnacentral:rRNA from 1 species
UACGUAGGUGGCAAGCGUUGUCCGGAUUUAUUGGGUUUAAAGGGUGCGUAGGCGGCCCCAUAAGUCAGUGCUGAAAUAUCCCGGCUUAACCGGGAGGGUGGCAUUGAUACUGCAGGGCUUGAGUACAGAUGAGGUAGGCGGAAUUGACGGUGUAGCGGUGAAAUGCAUAGAUAUCGUCAAGAACACCGAUAGCGAAGGCAGCUUACCAAGCUGUAACUGACACUGAGGCACGAAAGUGUGGGGAUCAAACAGG